GAUGAACGCUGGCGGCGUGCCUAAUACAUGCAAGUAGAACGCUGAAGGAAGGAGCUUGCUCUUUCCGGAUGAGUUGCGAACGGGUGAGUAACGCGUAGGUAACCUGCCUGGUAGCGGGGGAUAACUAUUGGAAACGAUAGCUAAUACCGCAUAACAGUAGAUAUUGCAUGAUAUCUGCUUGAAAGGGGCAAUUGCUCCACUACCAGAUGGACCUGCGUUGUAUUAGCUAGUUGGUGAGGUAACGGCUCACCAAGGCGACGAUACAUAGCCGACCUGAGAGGGUGAUCGGCCACACUGGGACUGAGACACGGCCCAGACUCCUACGGGAGGCAGCAGUAGGGAAUCUUCGGCAAUGGACGGAAGUCUGACCGAGCAACGCCGCGUGAGUGAAGAAGGUUUUCGGAUCGUAAAGCUCUGUUGUAAGAGAAGGACGAGUGUGAGAGUGGAAAGUUCACACUGUGACGGUAUCUUACCAGAAAGGGACGGCUAACUACGUGCCAGCAGCCGCGGUAAUACGUAGGUCCCGAGCGUUAUCCGGAUUUAUUGGGCGUAAAGCGAGCGCAGGCGGUUAGAUAAGUCUGAAGUUAAAGGCUGUGGCUUAACCAUAGUACGCUUUGGAAACUGUUUAACUUGAGUGCAAGAGGGGAGAGUGGAAUUCCAUGUGUAGCGGUGAAAUGCGUAGAUAUAUGGAGGAACACCGGUGGCGAAAGCGGCUCUCUGGCUUGUAACUGACGCUGAGGCUCGAAAGCGUGGGGAGCAAACAGG
rnacentral:rRNA from 1 species